GAUUUUAUGAAUUCCCUCAAAUUUCCCGGGGAAAAAAAUGCACAGCCCUACCGUAAGCUAUCUCAGCAGUGCGUCGCGGCGUUCUGAAAAUUGUACGAGCUUCGAUCUACCCUAAGUUUUGCGACUAUGGUGGAACUUUGCCGCUUCUGUUCAACCUCUCUUCCUCGCUGCCGGAGUGACCUUAGAUUGGUAUGCAAUGUCCGCCGUAUGUCUUUUUCAGCCAACUACUGGAUAUACUGCUUUGGCGUCACGAUUUCGUUUCUCAACGUUUUCGCUCGUGACAUGCGCAUCUCUUUUGAUCAGUUUAAUCUUAUGGUUUUCACAAGGCGGAACGGAUAAUGAUGCUAUAACUACACCUCGAAUUCCAGGUGUUGAAUUUCACUUGCAAGCAGAUGGUGAGGUCUGAAGACAAGCGGAGUUGAUUGAAGAGCUGGAAGAGGCCUCUGCUGGGACGCAAGAGCUGCUGAGAUUGCGGCCCCAUCCUCCCUGGUUAGUGCUCAGCAGGACGCAAGUUCUGUGACCAACUGAGGAAUGGAAAAUGGUCUGCAUGUCGACACAGCUAAUGCUUGAAAUUUCGGGGAAGAUCUCACAUUUGACUUUAAUAAAAAUGUGAAGGAAGAAAAGUAUUUUCAAGAGAAAAGGUUAGUAGAUUUGUUUUUGUCAAAUAGUAUGAAGCACGUAGAAAAAUUGUACAAGAGAACCAACCAAAUUGGACUAUUUACCUCUAAAGGAUUUCUUUAGUAAGGGUUAGUUCAACAAAACAAAAAUAAGGAAAUAUUUAUGGUGGGGAAACCAAGACCUUUAUUAGGAGGAUAGGGCCCAAUGUUUGUUGGGAGCUUAUGUAGCUCAUUUUGAUCUAUUUGGGAGCUUUUUUUAAUUUA